rnacentral:misc_RNA from 1 species
UGCGAGUUCGCGGGAGAGUAAGUUAUUGCCAGGGUUUUUAUUUUAUACUUUAAACAUUGAUUUUAUUUUUUAUGUUUUUAGAUAUUUAUGUUUUUGAAUGUUUUAUUCAAAUAAUAUAAAAAAUAAAAUAUAUAUUGACAUGGAUUAAACAAAGAUAUAUAUUAUUCUAUAUUGUAUAAACAAAUUGGCAAAAUAGAGAUGGAAGAUAAAAAUAUGGUCAAAGUAAUAAGAGUCUAUGGUGAAUGCCUAGGAGC